rfam:Oryza meridionalis cultivar OR44 (W2112) chromosome 11, whole genome shotgun sequence.
CUUAUUAGUAACUAUGAGUUUCUAUACUUAACUAUCAUCUUCCGUCUUAUUUGAAAAAUUAGUAUUUUUCUAUUAUUAGAUGAUAAACAUAAAUAUUACUUUAUGCAUGACUUCUAUUUAUAAUUUUAUUAAAAAUAAGUAAAUAAGACGGACGAUCGAAAUUGGGCACGGAAAAUUAUGGCUAUACUUAGA